rnacentral:tRNA from 1 species
GGUGGCUCUGUGGUAGAGUACUUGCCUUGCAUGCAUGAGGCCCUAGGUUAGAUUCCUCAGCACCA